rnacentral:rRNA from 1 species
GAUGAACGCUAGCUACAGGCUUAACACAUGCAAGUCGAGGGACCGGCGCACGGGGAAGUAACACGUAUCCAACCUUCCCUUUACUCGGGGAUAGCCUUUCGAAAUAAAGAUUAAUACCCGAUCUAAAGGAUGGGGAUGCGUUCGAUUAGGUUGUUGGUGAGGUAACGGCUCACCAAGCCUUCGAUGGAUAGGGGUUCUGAGAGGAAGGGCCCCCACAUCGGAACUGAGACACGGUCCAAACUCCGAGGGGAGGGAGCAGUGAGGAAGAUUGGGCAAUAGGGGCUAGCCUGAACAAGCCACGUAGCGUGAAGGAGGAAGGCUUAGGGGUCGUAAAUUUCUUUUAUAUAAGAAGAGGUAUUAUAUGAAUAAGGAUCGGCUAACUCCGUGCCAGCAGCCGCGGUAAUUC